rnacentral:rRNA from 1 species
UUAGCUUGCUAAUCUGCUGACGAGUGGCGGACGGGUGAGUAAUGCUUGGGAAUCUGGCUUAUGGAGGGGGAUAACUACGGGAAACUGUAGCUAAUACCGCGUAAAAUCUUCGGAUUAAAGGGUGGGACUUUCGGGCCACCUGCCAUAAGAUGAGCCCAAGUGGGAUUAGGUAGUUGGUUAGGUAAAGGCUGACCAAGCCGACGAUCUCUAGCUGGUCUGAGAGGAUGACCAGCCACACUGGAACUGAGACACGGUCCAGACUCCUACGGGAGGCAGCAGUGGGGAAUAUUGCACAAUGGGGGGAACCCUGAUGCAGCCAUGCCGCGUGAAUGAAGAAGGCCUUCGGGUUGUAAAGUUCUUUCGGUGACGAGGAAGGUUGAUAGGUUAAUAGCCUAUCAAAUUGACGUUAAUCACAGAAGAAGCACCGGCUAACUCCGUGCCAGCAGCCGCGGUAAUACGGGGGGUGCGAGCGUUAAUCGGAAUAACUGGGCGUAAAGGGCACGCAGGCGGUGACUUAAGUGAGAUGUGAAAGCCCCGAGCUUAACUUGGGAAUUGCAUUUCAUACUGGGUCGCUAGAGUACUUUAGGGAGGGGUAGAAUUCCACGUGUAGCGGUGAAAUGCGUAGAGAUGUGGAGGAAUACCGAAGGCGAAGGCAGCCCCUUGGGAAUGUACUGACGCUCAUGUGCGAAAGC